AGUGCACGUUUUUUAGGGAGUGAUGUGUGUACCAUUGUGACCAUUCGUCUCGUGAUAAGGCAGUCUGGAGAAGGAUGCCCAUGCCAGGAGGGAGGUCAAGGCACCAACUCAUUCCUCUUCCUAGACACUUCCAUUUAUCAGGCCUGACUGCAUGCAUCACACACCCUCAAGCCGCAAUAUCAGCUGGGUCCGUUUCAUAAAUACACCAGCAUUCCCCGCCGUGACAGCUGGAGCCUCUCCCAGCUGCUACAGGGCAAAAGUCCCUCAGUUAUUGGGAGGACAAACAUACUGAGGGCAGAAUUACCAUGGAGCACGCACGCCUAGCCAAAGGCCCAACAGAGCCAAUGGUUUAUUUCCAUUCUGUGGCCAGGGAAUUGUCUCCAGAAUGCUUGCAGUGAGAAAACUCAUUCCGAUGAUCUGGGUCAGAUAGAGGCACUUCCAUCGGCCACAGACAAUUCAGGCUUGGAAUGACGACAGAACUUUAAAGAGAGAGAGAGGGAGGGAGAGACUGCCUCAAGACAAGAUGUACCACAGAUGAUAAAACAAGGGGAGUUGAUAUCUACUCAGUGGUCUGCCAGACAGAUAAAUACUUUGCUCUGUGUGUGUGUGUGUGUGUGUGUGUGUGUGUGUCCCUUGAAUGAAUAUGCACAAUCCAAGCUGUUUACAUUCACCUCCAUCAAACAGGUAAAGCUGUGUGGUUAUAUAUACACAUUUCUCCUUUUGUCAUGUGGUGCUAUAAAUUGCUCUGGGCUUCUCAUAAAUCCAUGCAAGACCACUUGAAGGGGAAAUGUUUUCUGUUUUCUCUGGUAUCACUUUGACUUUUGAGGAAAUUGGUUUGCAAAGAAGACAUGUAUCAAAAAAGAUCUAUCUAUCUAUUUCAUGUCUGAGGAAUAUAUAUUUUCUCUUUUGUGUGUAAGUAGGCUCCAAUAUUCAACUUUAAUGCCAUACUCAUGUAUUUAAGCAUGCAACAUGCAUAGCAAGCAAAUAUGCCAGUCAGACUCAGAGUCAAUUUUAAAUUUACAGCCAUUUUAAAACAAAACUUAGCAUAAAAAGUUUGGAAUGCUGCUACGAUGCAGUGAAAGACUAUUGAUAAAAGAGAAACAUCAUUGCUCUGAAUUUUGAUGUAGCCAUCUGCCAAACAGUUUACUUAUCCUGUGUUUGUUGAGAAAUAGAGGAGGUGUGGGCAAAUAUUUACAGCAGCUGUUCUUUCUCUGAUACAGACAAAGCAAGUAAACACAGGUGUAAUCUUGGAUACAAAUUAGAAGACUUAAGUUUGUGAUCCAUGUCCACAAAAUAUGUCUCUCCCUUAUUACUGCUGGUCAACCCUUUGGCAAGAAAGAGUGUGGCUCCCAAAUAACACGUGAAAAUAGAUGUUAACACCAAAAAAAAAAUCAGCAAAACACACUCAAGUAACAAUGCAUGCAAUGAUGACUGACUGUAAUCAUUCUAUAUUAGUUUAUGGUAGUUGUGUGUGUGUGUAUAUAUAGUGAUAUAGGUUCUAUAUUAAAGGAGACAUUUUUGUGAGGAAAAGUAAUAUCUGGAAGUUUAAUUAAUAGGGGGAACUCCGAUAUGGUGAUGUUUUUUAAAUGUUGGGGAAAACAAAUGUAAAUAUAAGAAUAUUAAAGAAACAUUUUACAACAAAAUAAGGUAUUACGGGGAUAUGUUUUGCAGAAAUAUCUGCACAUUCUUCUAGCAACUCCUUCUAGAAAUCAUUAUCGACUUAUUCUUUGCCAUGAACAGUUCCACGUAGGAAACUAUUUCCUGAAUUUGAUUUUCGAGUAAACUCUCCCUUCAAGGUCUUUGUCCAAAGAAUGAAAAAAAGAUGAAAGAAAUGUUAGCUCAAGACAUAUGAGGAGUUUCACAUUCUUUCACAUAUUUGCCAUUCUUGCCUUGUCAUUUCUACUGGGAAUCAGUCAUCAUGACUUCAGCUUGUUAAUAAAUGUCUAA